GACGAACGCUGGCGGCGUGCUUAACACAUGCAAGUCGAACGGAAAGGCCCUGCUUUUGUGGGGUGCUCGAGUGGCGAACGGGUGAGUAACACGUGAGUAACCUGCCCUUGACUUUGGGAUAACUUCAGGAAACUGGGGCUAAUACCGGAUAGGAGCUCCUGCUGCAUGGUGGGGGUUGGAAAGUUUCGGCGGUUGGGGAUGGACUCGCGGCGUAUCAGCUUGUUGGUGGGGUAGUGGCUUACCAAGGCUUUGACGGGUAGCCGGCCUGAGAGGGUGACCGGCCACAUUGGGACUGAGAUACGGCCCAGACUCCUACGGGAGGCAGCAGUGGGGAAUAUUGCACAAUGGGCGGAAGCCUGAUGCAGCAACGCCGCGUGCGGGAUGACGGCCUUCGGGUUGUAAACCGCUUUCGCCUGUGACGAAGCGUGAGUGACGGUAAUGGGUAAAGAAGCACCGGCUAACUACGUGCCAGCAGCCGCGGUGAUACGUAGGGUGCGAGCGUUGUCCGGAUUUAUUGGGCGUAAAGGGCUCGUAGGUGGUUGAUCGCGUCGGAAGUGUAAUCUUGGGGCUUAACCCUGAGCGUGCUUUCGAUACGGGUUGACUUGAGGAAGGUAGGGGAGAAUGGAAUUCCUGGUGGAGCGGUGGAAUGCGCAGAUAUCAGGAGGAACACCAGUGGCGAAGGCGGUUCUCUGGGCCUUUCCUGACGCUGAGGAGCGAAAGCGUGGGGAGCGAACAGGCUUAGAUACCCUGGUAGUCCACGCUGUAAACGGUGGGUACUAGGUGUGGGGUCCAUUCCACGGGUUCCGUGCCGUAGCUAACGCUUUAAGUACCCCGCCUGGGGAGUACGGCCGCAAGGCUAAAACUCAAAGGAAUUGACGGGGCCCCGCACAAGCGGCGGAGCAUGCGGAUUAAUUCGAUGCAACGCGUAGAACCUUACCUGGGUUUGACAUGGAUCGGGAGUGCUCAGAGAUGGGUGUGCCUCUUUUGGGGUCGGUUCACAGGUGGUGCAUGGCUGUCGUCAGCUCGUGUCGUGAGAUGUUGGGUUAAGUCCCGCAACGAACGCAACCCUUGUUCACUGUUGCCAGCACGUUAUGGUGGGGACUCAGUGGAGACCGCCGGGGUCAACUCGGAGGAAGGUGGGGAUGACGUCAAGUCAUCAUGCCCCUUAUGUCCAGGGCUUCACGCAUGCUACAAUGGCUGGUACAGAGAGUGGCGAGCCUGUGAGGGUGAGCGAAUCUCGGAAAGCCGGUCUCAGUUCGGAUUGGGGUCUGCAACUCGACCUCAUGAAGUCGGAGUCGCUAGUAAUCGCAGAUCAGCAACGCUGCGGUGAAUACGUUCCCGGG
rnacentral:rRNA from 1 species